rnacentral:rRNA from 1 species
CGAUAACCGUUUGAGAGAAGGGAUGACACAGUAGGAUAAGCUAAGCACACUGUUGGUUAUGUGUGCCCAAGCAUUGAGGCAGUCAAAGUAGGCAAAUCCGCUUUGAUAAUGCUGGGAUGUGAUGGGGAGCGAAAUUUAGUAGCGAAGUAGCUGAUUUCACACUGUCAAGAAAAGUCUCUAUCGAGGUUAAAGGUACCCGUACCGCAAACCGACACAGGUGGGUGAGGAGAGUAUCCUAAGGCCAGCGAGAGAACUGUUGUUAAGGAACUCGGCAAAAUGACCCCGUAACUUAGGGAUAAGGGGUGCCACCAUCAGGUGGCCGCAGAGAAUAGGCCCAAGCGACUGUUUACCAAAAACAUAGGUUUCUGCUAAGUCGCAAGACGAUGUAUAGGAGCUGACGCCUGCCCGGUGCUGGAA